UCUCCUGUACCCUUUGCGAGGACAGUGAUCCUGUACCCCUAUGGAUGUGCUUGUACUGAUGCAGGAGCAUAUACUUCAAUUCCAGGUUCUUUCUUUCAAGCUCGGGCUAUCAAACUCAUGCUUAUGAUUGAUCAGGGUGAGAAAGAUGACAAGAUAAUAGCAGU